rnacentral:rRNA from 1 species
UACGUAGGGGGCAAGCGUUGUCCGGAAUCAUUGGGCGUAAAGCGCGUGUAGGCGGCUCGGUAAGUCUGCUGUGAAAGUCCAGGGCUCAACCCUGGGAUGCCGGUGGAUACUGUCGAGCUCGAGUCCGGAAGAGGCGAGUGGAAUUCCUGGUGUAGCGGUGAAAUGCGCAGAUAUCAGGAGGAACACCAAUGGCGAAGGCAGCUCGCUGGGACGUGACUGACGCUGAAACGCGAAAGCGUGGGGAGCAAACAGG